UAUAUACUAGCCUGGUGUGUAGAUAUCUCAUAACUGAUUCUGCUUUUUUAAGAGAGAUUUUUUUGCUAUAAGGCAUGUGCUCCUCAAGAGACAGGUUUGUUCAGCUCUGUCUCCUCCCCAGGAGGCUGGAAUACCUUCUCCAUUCUCCUCGCAGGAUCCUGGGCGGGCACCCAUGCACACACACCCAGGGGCAAAUUUCAAGACUCCAGGUCCAGGACACAGACCAGGGUCCAACAUGGAGAAGUCCAGUGAAUAAGUGGCAGUCCUGUGGAGUGAGAAACAGAAAAGAAGAGCAACUGGAAGGGACAGUCUUGCAAAAACACAGGAAUCGAAGCGCUGAGAUCUCAGAGAAGGUACAACCACCCAAGAAUACCACCAAGAUGAGGCGCAGGGACUCGCU